AACGAACGCUGGCGGCAUGCCUAACACAUGCAAGUCGAACGAGACCUUCGGGUCUAGUGGCGCACGGGUGCGUAACGCGUGGGAACCUGCCCUUAGGUUCGGAAUAACUCCCCGAAAGGGGUGCUAAUACCGGAUAAUGUCUUCGGCCCAAAGAUUUAUCGCCUUUGGAUGGGCCCGCGUUGGAUUAGCUAGUUGGUAGGGUAAAAGCCUACCAAGGCGACGAUCCAUAGCUGGUCUGAGAGGAUGAUCAGCCACACUGCGACUGGGACACGGCCCAGACUCCUACGGGAGGCAGCAGUGGGGAAGAUUGGACGAUGGGCGAAAGCCUGAUCCAGCAAGGCCGCGAGAGUGAUGAAGGCCUUAGGGAUGUAAAGCUCUUUUACCCGGGAUGAUAAGGACAGUACCGGGAGAAUAAGCUCCGGCUAACUCCGU
rnacentral:rRNA from 1 species